rnacentral:rRNA from 1 species
AGUGAACGCUGGCGGUAGGCCUAACACAUGCAAGUCGAACGGCAGCACAGUAAGAGCUUGCUCUUACGGGUGGCGAGUGGCGGACGGGUGAGGAAUACAUCGGAAUCUACUUUUUCGUGGGGGAUAACGUAGGGAAACUUACGCUAAUACCGCAUACGACCUACGGGUGAAAGCAGGGGAUCUUCGGACCUUGCGCGAUUGAAUGAGCCGAUGUCGGAUUAGCUAGUUGGCGGGGUAAAGGCCCACCAAGGCGACGAUCCGUAGCUGGUCUGAGAGGAUGAUCAGCCACACUGGAACUGAGACACGGUACAGACUCCUACGGGAGGCAGCAGUGGGGAAUAUUGGACAAUGGGCGAAAGCCUGAUCCAGCCAUACCGCGUGGGUGAAGAAGGCCUUCGGGUUGUAAAGCCCUUUUGUUGGGAAAGAAAAGCAGCAGGUUAAUACCCCGCUGUUCUGACGGUACCCAAAGAAUAAGCACCGGCUAACUUCGUG